rnacentral:rRNA from 1 species
AAAGGCUGUCUAAGUAUAAGCAAUUAUACCGUGAAACUGCGAAUGGCUCAUUAAAUCAGUUAUCGUUUAUUUGAUAGUACCUUACUACUUGGAUAACCGUGGUAAUUCUAGAGCUAAUACAUGCUGAAAACCCCAACUUCGGGAGGGGUGUAUUUAUUAGAUAAAAAACCAACGCCCUUCGGGGCUUCUUGGUGAUUCAUGAUAACUUCACGGAUCGCAUGGCCUUGCGCCGGCGACGGUUCAUUCAAAUUUCUGCCCUAUCAACUUUCGAUGGUAAGGUAUUGGCUUACCAUGGUUUCAACGGGUAACGGGGAAUUAGGGUUCGAUUCCGGAGAGGGAGCCUGAGAAACGGCUACCACAUCCAAGGAAGGCAGCAGGCGCGCAAAUUACCCAAUCCCGACACGGGGAGGUAGUGACAAUAAAUACUGACCUCUUAACGAGGAACAAUUGGAGGGCAAGUCUGGUGCCAGCAGCCGCGGUAAUUCCAGCUCCAAUAGCGUAUAUUAAAGUUGUUGCAGUUAAAAAGCUCGUAGUUGAAACUUGGGCCUGGCUGGCAGGUCCGCCUCACCGCGUGUACUUGUCCGGCCGGGCCUUUCCUUCUGGAGAACCUCAUGCCCUUCACUGGGUGUGUUGGGGAACCAGGACUUUUACUUUGAAAAAAUUAGAGUGUUCAAAGCAGGCCUUUGCUCGAAUACGUUAGCAUGGAAUAAUAGAAUAGGACGUGCGGUCCUAUUUUGUUGGUUUCUAGGACCGCCGUAAUGAUUAAUAGGGACAGUCGGGGGCAUCAGUAUUCAAUUGUCAGAGGUGAAAUUCUUGGAUUUAUUGAAGACUAACUACUGCGAAAGCAUUUGCCAAGGAUGUUUUCAUUAAUCAGUGAACGAAAGUUAGGGGAUCGAAGACGAUCAGAUACCGUCGUAGUCUUAACCGUAAACUUACAAGAAAUCAAGUUUUUGGGUUCUGGGGGGAAUAUGGUCCCAAGGCUGAAACUUAAAAAAUUGACGGAAGGGACCACAAGGCAUGAACCUUGGCGUUAUUUGAUUUAACCGGGGAAACCCCCGGGCCCGAUGAAUAAGGAUUGCCAAUGGAAAUUUUUUUUUUUUUUUGGGGGGGGGGGGGGGGAUAAAUAUGGCGAAAAAUUUUUUGUGUUUAUUAAAAAAAAAACAAAA